ACAAACUUGGUCAUUUAGAGGAAGUAAAAGUCGUAACAAGGUUUCCGUAGGUGAACCUGCGGAAGGAUCAUUACUGAAACGGGCGCGUCCUCCUGCGCCGCGCUCCGGCGCGUUGCUGCGGAGGUCCGCCUUUCCACUUCAAACCCCUGUGCACUUGGUGGCCCGCUCGUUGGGCCUCUUUUUACAAACGUUAUAUUAUUUAUGAACUUUGCGGCUCACGCCGUCCAAAUACAAAACAACUUUCAACAACGGAUCUCUUGGCUCUCGCAUCGAUGAAGAACGCAGC
rnacentral:misc_RNA from 1 species